UUUCAAUCAAACUUCAACUAGAAAUAGGGUUUCAGCCACUCAUGGCUGAACCAAAACAGAAAAUAAAAGAAAAGAAGAAAAAAAGAUGAAGAACUAAGGUGGAGGAGCCUUUGGAGAGUCUUGAUCAAUCCCUUGAUGGAAGAUUUUGAUUCUUGGUCUUCUUGAGGCCUUUAAAUAGAUCUUGAGAGGCUGCCUUUUUUCCUUUUUAGUGUCCAUGCAUCUUUGAGUGAUUGCCCCA
rnacentral:lncRNA from 1 species